rnacentral:rRNA from 1 species
AGCGAACGCUGGCGGCAGGCCUAACACAUGCAAGUCGAACGCACCUUCGGGUGAGUGGCGGACGGGUGAGUAACACGUGGGAACGUACCUUUAGGUUCGGAAUAACGCAGGGGAACUUGCGCUAAUACCGAAUGUGCCCUUCGGGGAAGAUUUAUCGCCUUUAGAGCGGCCCGCGUUAGAUUAGCUAGUUGGUGGGGUAAUGGCUCACCAAGGCUACGAUCUAUAGCUGGUCUGAGAGGANGAUCAGCCACACUGGACUGAGACACGGCCCAGACUCCUACGGGAGGC